GCCGAAGUGGCGAAAUUGGUAUACGCACUAGAUUCAAAAUCUAGCGAGCUUACGCUCAUGGGGGUUCAACUCCCCCCUUCGGCA
rnacentral:tRNA from 1 species